rnacentral:rRNA from 1 species
UACAGAGGGUGCGAGCGUUAAUCGGAAUCACUGGGCGUAAAGGGUGCGUAGGCGGCCGUGCAAGUCUGGCGUGAAAGCCCCGGGCUCAGCCCGGGAAGUGCGCUCGAAACUGCGCGGCUCGAGUGCCGGAGGGGAGAGUGGAAUUCCUGGUGUAGCGGUGAAAUGCGUAGAUAUCAGGAGGAAUACCGGUGGCGAAAGCGACUCUCUGGACGGCAACUGACGCUGAGGCACGAAAGCGUGGGGAGCAAACAGG